UGAUUAUUUUGUGACUGAGUGGCGGACGGGUGAGUAACGCGUGGGUAACCUGCCUUACAGAGGGGGACAACAGUUGGAAACGACUGCUAAUACCGCAUGACACAUAGGUGUCGCAUGGCACUUAUGUCAAAGAUUUAUCGCUGAAAGAUGGCCUCGCGUCUGAUUAGCUGGUUGGUGAGGUAACGGCCCACCAAGGCGACGAUCAGUAGCCGGACUGAGAGGUUGACCGGCCACAUUGGGACUGAGAUACGGCCCAGACUCC
rnacentral:rRNA from 1 species